UGGGGAAUUUUGGACAAUGGGCGAAAGCCUGAUCCAGCAAUGCCGCGUGUGUGAAGAAGGCCUUCGGGUUGUAAAGCACUUUUGUCCGGAAAGAAAUCCUUGGCUCUAAUACAGUCGGGGGAUGACGGUACCGGAAGAAUAAGCACCGGCUAACUACGUGCCAGCAGCCGCGGUAAUACGUAGGGUGCAAGCGUUAAUCGGAAUUACUGGGCGUAAAGCGUGCGCAGGCGGUUUGCUAAGACCGAUGUGAAAUCCCCGGGCUCAACCUGGGAACUGCAUUGGUGACUGGCAGGCUAGAGUAUGGCAGAGGGGGGUAGAAUUCCACGUGUAGCAGUGAAAUGCGUAGAGAUGUGGAGGAAUACCGAUGGCGAAGGCAGCCCCCUGGGCCAAAUACUGACGCUCAUGCACGAAAGCGUGGGGAGCAAACAGGAUUAGAUACCCUGGUAGUCCACGCCCUAAAACGAUGUCAACUAGUUGUUGGGGAUUCAUUUCCUUAGUAACGUAGCUAACGCGUGAAGUUGACCGCCUGGGGAGUACGGUCGCAAGAUUAAAACUCAAAGGAAUUGACGGGGUCAUAGCUG
rnacentral:rRNA from 1 species